rnacentral:rRNA from 1 species
GAUGGACGCUGACAGAAUGCUUAACACAUGCAAGUCGACUUGAAUUUGGGUUUUUAACUUAGGUUUGGGUGGCGGACGGGUGAGUAACGCGUAAAGAACUUGCCUCACAGCUAGGGACAACAUUUGGAAACGAAUGCUAAUACCUAAUAUUAUGAUAAUAGGGCAUCCUAUAAUUAUGAAAGCUAUAAGCGCUGUGAGAGAGCUUUGCGUCCCAUUAGCUAGUUGGAGAGGUAACGGCUCACCAAGGAGAUGAUGGGUAGCCGGCCUGAGAGGGUGAUCGGCCACAAGGGGACUGAGACACGGCCCGUACUCCUACGGGAGGCAGCAGUGGGGAAUAUUGGACAAUGGACCGAGAGUCUGAUCCAGCAAUUCUGUGUGCACGAUGAAGUUUUUCGGAAUGUAAAGUGCUUUCAGUUGGGAAGAAACAAAUGACGGUACCAACAGAAGAAGUGACGGCUAAAUACGUG